CUAAAAAUCUAGCCCACCCACCCACAUAUUAACCACCACCAUAAAAAUAUUUUCACAUCUUAGUAAGGAUGACUGAAAAGCUAACAAGCGCAAUAGAUUCCGUACCGCAAGGGAAAGAUGAAAUAAAUGAAACACUUCAAGCAAAAAAUAGUAGAGAUUUUACCUCGUACCUUUUGCAUCAUGAUUUAACUAGUCCAACCAAGCACAAUGAAUUAAAGUUUGAAACCCCGAAACUGAAUGAGCUACUCCACGGCAGCUAAAAGAGCAAACCCGUCUCUGUUGCAAAAGAGUGGGAAGACCGUCAAGUAGCGGUGAUAAGCCUAUCGAACUCAGUGAUAGCUGGUUUCUCAAGAAAAGAAUCUUAGUUCACCCUAAAGCCCCCCAUAAUAAUAUAAAUAACAACACAACUUUAGAGCAAUCCAAACAAGGUACAGCCUGUUUGAAAAAGGAUACAACCUUCACUCGCGGGUAAUGAUACUUACUAUAACACCAAGUAGACCUAAAACCAGCCAUCUUAGUAAAAUGCGUUAAAGCUUCAUCUUAUACCACUCUUUCUCUCUUCCCACCCCCCAAUCACUAUUGAGAACUUCUAUACUAUAUAGAAAUUUUUAUGUUAAAACUAGUAACAAGAACCAAUUCUCUUAAAUACACGUGUAUGUUAGAGCGAACUCACCACUAACACUUAUUCUGCUUUGAAAAACAAUAGCAACUCCCUAAGAAAACCCUAUUAAUCAUUCUGUUAACCCUACACAAGAGUACUUCAAGAAAGAUAAAAAUGGAAAGAAGGAACUCGGCAAAUGGGGAAUCCCGCCUGUUUACUAAAAACACCGCCUCUUGACUAUCAUAAGAGGUCCAGCCUGCCCAGUGAGAAAUUCAACGGCCGCGGUAACCUGACCGUGCAAAGGUAGCGUAAUCACUUGUUUUUUAAAUAGAGACUAGUAUGAACGGCACCACGAGGAUAAAACUGUCUCCUUUCCAUAAUCAGUGAAACUAAUCUCCUAGUGAAAAAGCAAGGAUAUUACUGUAAGACGAAAAGACCCUAUGGAGCUUAAAACAAACAACUAAUGCUUUUCUUUCUCUUCCAAUUCUCCACCAAGCACUGUAGUUACUAAUUUUUGGUUGGGGUGACCACGGAGAAAAAUUUAUCCUCCACAACGAAACUCUUUAAACAAAGCCACAGCUUUAUCUAGCAAUAAAUUGGCGCACUGACCCAAUAACUUGAUCAGCGAACUAAGUUACCCUAGGGAUAACAGCGCAAUCCGCCUCGAGAGUCCUUAUUAACGGGCGGCUUUACGACCUCGAUGUUGGAUCAGGGUACCCCAGUGGUGCAGCCGCUACUAAAGGUCGC
rnacentral:rRNA from 1 species